UAUCUGGAAUAAACGGUAUGGAGCAAGGCGAUCUUGGGGCCUUUGUUUAGUCGUACCUUUGACACAACCGGGACGGAGACACUACAGUUCCGUCGAGUACCGUGCCCAGAAAUGGCACCCUCUCCUGGAAGGGAACACACUUCGGAGAUGGAUGCAAAUUUGGACUGCAGGUACCAUCAGGCGCGGCUGCUGGAACGGGUCUGUAUUGACCUGUCCGACCAGAGCCCUGUAUAGGAUCCACGUCUCUUCCUGUUGCUAUGGUUGUCUUUUUGCUGUGCUCGAUAUGCCUUAACCGUCAACCAAAUUCUGCGCCAAGGUGCGCUUCAACAUUGAUUUGGCGAUGAGUUUUAUUUGUUGCGAGAUGGGAACAAUAAACUUAGAUAUGUUGCUGAACACACCACCUCCUCGUUUGGAAAUGGGUCCCGUAUACACGUAAACUAUUUUUGGGUAAUUGCGGUACAUGUUUAAAGUAAAAUCUUCGGAUAAGGUGAAGUCGUAUACUGGUCUAUUAUACGCAAAAGAAAUGCUAAAUUCAGAAACGGCUUUUUAUUAAAUCGCUCUCAAAAUCCAAGCGUGCCAAAAGAUAUCCCAGUUCCGACCGUACCCUGCAAAGGAACCUCGAUUAUCGCGUCUUGCUCUUCGUAUCCGAUAUUUACAAAAAAUCGUUGCUUAAGUCAGGCGCUGGCUCUCCUGGAGUGAGGAUGUAUGUUCGGUUGCUGCACCUCAUCAGUGAAGAUCUGGCUCUGGACGGAAGCGGUCGCUACGUCGCCACGGGGGAAAGAGCCAUGAUGGUGGCGCCAUUUGGUAUGAUGCAUUGCAACUAGGUGGCCACCUGUCGUCGAACUCUGCAACUACUGAACUACAGGACAUCAACAAGCAACAUCGCGGUAGCUGGUCCCUCGGCCGUUCUGGAGUGGUUGCUUCGACACAACUUCGUUGAUUUUCAAAUAAAUUGUCUCUCUCCACUCUA